GGCCCUAUCGUCUAAUGGUUAGGACAGUUCCCUCUCACGGAACAAAUCGGGGUUCGAAUCCCCGUAGGGUCA
rnacentral:tRNA from 1 species